rnacentral:rRNA from 1 species
UACAGAGGUCUCAAGCGUUGUUCGGAUUCAUUGGGCGUAAAGGGUGCGUAGGCGGCGCGGUAAGUCGGGUGUGAAAUCUCGGAGCUUAACUCCGAAACUGCAUUCGAUACUGCCGUGCUUGAGGACUGGAGAGGAGACUGGAAUUUACGGUGUAGCGGUGAAAUGCGUAGAUAUCGUAAGGAAGACCAGUGGCGAAGGCGGGUCUCUGGACAGUUCCUGACGCUGAGGCACGAAGGCCAGGGGAUCAAACGGG